rnacentral:rRNA from 1 species
UAGAGUUUGAUCAUGGCUCAGGAUGAACGCUGGCGGCGUGCUUAACACAUGCAAGUCGAACGGGGGAUGUACAGCGGGAAGAUUUCGGUCGGACCAAGUGCAUGCCUAGUGGCGGACGGGUGAGUAACGCGUGGGUAACCUGCCUUACACAGGGGGAUAACACUUAGAAAUAGGUGCUAAUACCGCAUGAGCGCACAGGACCGCAUGGUCGAGUGUGAAAAACUGAGGUGGUGUAAGAUGGACCCGCGUCUGAUUAGCUAGUUGGUGAGGUAACGGCCCACCAAGGCGACGAUCAGUAGCCGGCCUGAGAGGGUGGACGGCCACAUUGGGACUGAGACACGGCCCAAACUCCUACGGGAGGCAGCAGUGGGGAAUAUUGCACAAUGGGGGGAACCCUGAUGCAGCGACGCCGCGUGAGUGAAGAAGUAUUUCGGUAUGUAAAGCUCUGUCAGCAGGGAAGAAGAAAGACGGUACCUGACCAAGAAGCCCCGGCUAACUACGUGCCAGCAGCCGCGGUAAUACGUAGGGGGCAAGCGUUAUCCGGAUUUACUGGGUGUAAAGGGAGCGUAGACGGCAGGGCAAGUCUGGAGUGAAAGGCAGGGGCCCAACCCCUGGACUGCUCUGGAAACUGUCCGGCUGGAGUGCAGGAGAGGUAAGUGGAAUUCCUAGUGUAGCGGUGAAAUGCGUAGAUAUUAGGAGGAACACCAGUGGCGAAGGCGGCUUACUGGACUGUAACUGACGUUGAGGCUCGAAAGCGUGGGGAGCAAACAGGAUUAGAUACCCUGGUAGUCCACGCCGUAAACGAUGAUCACCAGGUGUCGGGGGUUAACAGACCCCCGGUGCCGAAGCCAACGCAUUAAGUGAUCCACCU